rnacentral:lncRNA from 1 species
CCCUCGGGCGGGGCGCCCGCAGGUAGCGCUGCCCUGGGCGGCAGCCCCGAUGUGCCCCGCCGGCAGCACUUCCCCUCCGCUGUGUUCAAAAGGGCUCUGCUUCGGAGUCACCGGUUAACUCCCCUUAGCCCGCUCCCUUCUGGCCGGAGCUCGUGUCCAGGAGCAGUUCCCACGUCCGUCUGUCUGUCCGCAGCUGCCUGCUCUCCGUCCCCGUCCCUUCCCCCCGCCGCCCGUCAGACAAAGGCAGAACGACACGUUACCUCAAUGAGAACCAGGAUGUUUAGGAGAAGAGAAGCA